CGGGGGGAGCAAGCGUUGUUCGGAUUUACUGGGCGUAAAGGGCGUGUAGGCGGCCACCGCAAGUCGACUGUGAAAGUCUCCGGGCUUAACUCGGAAAGGUCAGCCGAUACUGCGGGGCUAGAGUGCAGAAGGGGCAACUGGAAUUCUCGGUGUAGCGGUGAAAUGCGUAGAUAUCGAGAGGAACACCUGCGGCGAAGGCGGGUUGCUGGGCUGACACUGACGCUGAAACGCGAAAGCUAGGGGAGCGAACGGGAUUAGAUAACCCCGGUAGUCCUAGCCUUAAACGAUGAAUGCUUGGUGUCUGGGGUUUUAUAGUCCCCGGGUGCCGUCGCUAACGCUUUAAGCAUUCCGCCUGGGGAGUACGGUCGCAAGACUG
rnacentral:rRNA from 1 species